GUAGACACUUUAAAGACUAGAUUUAGCUGCAGUUGCAUUAGCUUAGAUAAUGGAAGAAUUUUUCUUCAUUGAAAAUGCUCCCUGUCGCUUAAGAAGAACUCACUGAGGCAGCCUGCCAUCUAGCUUUUUCACAGCAAAAUAGGCUUGCAGACUGCAGAUGAGAGACUCGGGAGCAGAGACAAUUUUAACUUAGCCAUCCCUAAUUUAUCUCAAGCUUUUUCAAUUCGUCUUUACUGCUCUGUGCACACUGGAACACCAGAUUGUCAACCCCUGGGAACAGAAUGUAACCAGGGACCUAGAGAGCUGUCACAUCCUGAGAAAUAUUUAAAUUGUGCUGAUUUUCUUCUGGAGUGCUGAGCAGAGGGAAUGAAACUCUCCAUCAAGUCAUAGCUUUGCGGGCAAUAGAUCAGAGGAUACUGCCAGUUUUUCUAAUGGAUUAUUGUUAUCGGGCAGGUUCUUCCUGAAGAGGAACAGCUGUAUCUUGAACCUCAUUAUGUGGCCUUGAUACAGUAACCACCUCUUCAGACCACUGUUAGAUUUGGCAAAGUUAAAAGCGAUUUACAUGGUGAAUUUUCUAAUCAAACACUAAACCUGUGCUAUGACUUGAUAAGAGUGCUACUGGACAUUGUGAAAGUGAAGUCAAAGAGAACAAAGAUUACAAAGAGUAUUUCUACUGUGGGAAAUCUGCAUCUAUCCCUCCAAGUAACUGUAUUCCUUUGAAAAGAUGUCAAGAUAUGUAGAGAUAUGAACAGCGUGGACCUUGGAUGCCCUCCAAUAGGUCAUCUGUCUGUGAUUAGAGGACCAAUAAGGUAGACCACGCAUCUGUCACACAGUACAGACUGAAAACAUUUUGUUUUCUAUUUUGUUUCCUAUUUUGUUUUGAAUCUCACAUGAAGUCCAAUGGAAGCCCUAAUACACAAAGAUUGCACUACAAGAAGAUCAUGAGCAAAGAUUUACAACCCAGAUUUUAAGGGGGUUUUGCAAGCUCACUUUUGAUCUUUGCCUCCAUAUAACAUGAGACCCUUUUGUUUCUAUAAUUGUAUAUUUACAGCAUAAGAAUGUGGCAUGGUCAGUGCAUAGAGUCAUUUCUACAUGGCUUAGUAAGGGUGAUGUGCAUCUUAACUAAUAUCAGUCAGCAAGGUUCUUCUUAUAAUUAUGGAGAGAAAGAAGAAUCUUCAAAUAAUGAUUCGUCAUCCUUAAGACAAUUACUUCAGAUAGAUGGGCUAAAUCACACUCUGGAGGGGCCAAAUGUGCUCCAUGGACAACUUUCCUGAAAACUUUAGAUUAUAUGUCUAACUUCCAGACUUUUAAAUAAGAUCUAAUUGAGAUCUUUAAGAUUUCUGAGUAGGAAUGAAUUUCACCAGUAAUAUAAACAAACAAACAAAUAAUCUUACCCAUCAUUUGCUUUGCAUUGGAGUCACAGUUCUUAGAAAGUCUCAGGAUUUCCUCUCUGCAGCAGCAAGGGAGUUGACCAGAGCGCUUGGCCCAAGACUUUGAGGUUUCACAGAUAUUUGCUAAAAGUCAGAUAAUGUAAAUGUUUAGGAAGCAUAGUUUUACAGCUGGCAAUGAGGGGAAGCAUGCUCUAUCUUUUUCAUUCAGUCAAGCAUUACUCCCUGUACUUAAAACUCCUCUUAUUGCUAUUCCUGGACAUUUGUUUGGAGACUCUACCUAUUGUUCAUAUACACCUCAUAUUUUCAAAGUAUUACAGUGCAGCUAAAUUUAAUUGGAUUUUUCUUUUUAAAAGACAACACUUUUUUUUUUCUUUCCUUCAAGUCUCUACACUAAUAUUAGGAAAUCCUCAGACAUUCCAACUAUUAAUUAUGGACAAAAAAAAGUGUCCCUUGCCUGGUCUCAUUCUUUGACAACAGCAUCAGGUGUCUGGUAUCUGUAAUUUCAGGACAAAUGGUCAGUGUCUAUCCAUCUUCUAAGUAACUGUAAAUUGCUAUUUUUAAACAGGAAUAUUGGGCAAUCAGCCUGUCCUUCCAGUUGUCAGUCCAUGCUUCUGGAUCAGCUUUCUGCAGCAGUUCUUAAGCAAUCUUAAUAUGAAUUGUAUGAUAGUUUAGUCUGCCACUCUGUGUAAAACAGCCCAUAGAAUUUCAUCCAGCAAAUCAGGCCAAUGGUUUUGUUUGAAUACUUUAUUCCACUUUAAAAAUGUAUACACAAAAGCUAUUAAGAAUGUAUCAAACAUAGUUCUUAUAAAUGCAGGCUGGAAAUUACUGGAUGCAAUGCACAGAUAUAUUGCCUAUUAGCUAUCAGAAUCAGUCACUCCAUAAACUUCAGAUUUGGGAUCUGGGCUUUCUGAGAAUGUUACCUAGCUGAGAAGUGAAUUCUUAUAGGUAAAGACAAGUGGAUAAAGAGAAUGUGGAUGUAUAUUUCCAAAAGAGUGAAAUUAUAAUAUAAUAUGUAAAUGCUUCUCUCCCACCCAUUCCUCAGUUUACAAAUGUAACAAUUAAAUAAAAUGUUGUGGUCAAAUUUCCAAUGAGUAAGAAGAUUUACUACCUGCUGAAUGAAACAUAAUCUAAAUAAUCUGAUGCAAUCUAUCAUAGAAUAAUAUCACAUUAUCACUCACAAAUGGGAAGUAUGGCUUUCACAGUUGCCAAGCUGUACUUAGCCACAUCUGAUGGUCUCCAUUAAUUUUUAACAAUAGUCCUGUCACCAGAUCAGUGAGCUGUAGAAAAUACCGUGGAGAUGUCACAUUCCUUGAUGAUUGCAGUUAAUGCUGCUGCCCCUUUGAAUCAGCAUGAAAUGUAGACAGUUUUAUGACUGAAUCUGCAAUCUGGGAUUUGAUCGUGCUAUUUAUAGCAUUGCUAAUGGUCUGUAGCACUGACAAGGGGUGUGUUGAAGUCAUUCUCUCAGUUACCCUUGUUUUCAUUUGUAAAGGCAGAGCAGACAUCUGGAUCCUACAUAUCAGUAACUAGACAGAAAAUAACAGUACAAAGAAGUCAUGACUUUCAGUGGUG